rnacentral:lncRNA from 1 species
AAUUUUGUAAUAUUGAUGUGUUAGUAAUAAUAUGCUUGAUUUCAAUUUUCACAUAUGCGAUGCAAUUUCAGAGUUAAAAAUUUAAUUUAACUUCAGAAAUUGUUUAAGCGCAUAAAGUCUUGUUGACGAACAUCAAAUAGGAUGUUUCCUACAUGAAUUGCUUUACGAUUGCUUAAACAUUACGCUACAUUUCUUUUAGUUUAAUUUCUGCUUAUUUCGAGUCCCUUGGCUUUCUCUUGGACCUUCUUACAAGGAAAUUCUUUUAUUUUUUCAAUUUGUCUUUC